UAACAGAACGUAGGAAUUAUAUUGAAACUAUAAUCAUGGGAAAAAAAUCAUUUAAAUUUACAUAGCAACAUACGAAAGUAACAUGUUGUAGUCGUUUAUGUUGCUGUUAUUAAUUUGAAUUGGGAGGAAAUAAGCAGUGUCUUGUCGAGGGAGCAACAUCAUGUUUAAACAAUGAUGUUUUGGAAAGUUUCCUGCUUAUACGCCCAUAUCUAUGCAUUUUCAUGGUACCAUUCUACAAACAUUAGGCUGAGAAAAAAGGAAACCAACUCCUGCAAUUCAUAGUCCAUCAAGCCGCAUAAACGACACUUACGUCGAACUUGAACAAAAGCGGAGUUCUUCAAAGUUCAUAGACAAAAAACACAGGUUUCCAGACAGUACUUGCCUCCACUCAGCCAAAUCACACAGCAAAACCACAAUUGUAUUUGCUUCUACUCGCGCAGAGAAAAGCAUCAAGUGAAAUAGUCAUAGUGUUGACUUAUCGGGUGUAACCAACAAGAGUCGACCUAAGCCAACAGUUCGAGACGUUCUACACUUAUACGAUUUUGUAUAGACUAGCGUUAGAAUUGUAUCACUAAAACUCAUAGUUGAGACAGUUCUAAAUCAUCACCCAACCUAUCUAUACCCAAAUCUUCAUGAACCAUCUGAACCAUAUCUUCAAACUACAAACCUUCUUUAAUGGUAAAUAAUUUUCCUUCUUUUUUGUAUUCACCAUGAAAUUCCAUAAUUCUUUAUUCA